rnacentral:rRNA from 1 species
CUGCAAGUCGAGCGAACAGAUAAGGAGCUUGCUCCUUUGACGUUAGCGGCGGACGGGUGAGUAACACGUGGGUAACCUACCUAUAAGACUGGGAUAACUUCGGGAAACCGGAGCUAAUACCGGAUAACAUUUGGAACCGCAUGGUUCUAAAGUGAAAGAUGGUUUUGCUAUCACUUAUAGAUGGACCCGCGCCGUAUUAGCUAGUUGGUAAGGUAACGGCUUACCAAGGCGACGAUACGUAGCCGACCUGAGAGGGUGAUCGGCCACACUGGAACUGAGACACGGUCCAGACUCCUACGGGAGGCAGCAGUAGGGAAUCUUCCGCAAUGGGCGAAAGCCUGACGGAGCAACGCCGCGUGAGUGAUGAAGGGUUUCGGCUCGUAAAACUCUGUUAUUAGGGAAGAACAAACGUGUAAGUAACUGUGCACGUCUUGACGGUACCUAAUCAGAAAGCCACGGCUAACUACGUGCCAGCAGCCGCGGUAAUACGUAGGUGGCAAGCGUUAUCCGGAAUUAUUGGGCGUAAAGCGCGCGUAGGCGGUUUCUUAAGUCUGAUGUGAAAGCCCACGGCUCAACCGUGGAGGGUCAUUGGAAACUGGGAAACUUGAGUGCAGAAGAGGAAAGUGGAAUUCCAUGUGUAGCGGUGAAAUGCGCAGAGAUAUGGAGGAACACCAGUGGCGAAGGCGACUUUCUGGUCUGUAACUGACGCUGAUGUGCGAAAGCGUGGGGAUCAAACAGGAUUAGAUACCCUGGUAGUCCACGCCGUAAACGAUGAGUGCUAAGUGUUAGGGGGUUUCCGCCCCUUAGUGCUGCAGCUAACGCAUUAAGCACUCCGCCUGGGGAGUACGACCGCAAGGUUGAAACUCAAAGGAAUUGACGGGGACCCGCACAAGCGGUGGAGCAUGUGGUUUAAUUCGAAGCAACGCGAAGAACCUUACCAAAUCUUGACAUCCUUUGAAAACUCUAGAGAUAGAGCCUUCCCCUUCGGGGGACAAAGUGACAGGUGGUGCAUGGUUGUCGUCAGCUCGUGUCGUGAGAUGUUGGGUUAAGUCCCGCAACGAGCGCAACCCUUAAGCUUAGUUGCCAUCAUUAAGUUGGGCACUCUAGGUUGACUGCCGGUGACAAACCGGAGGAAGGUGGGGAUGACGUCAAAUCAUCAUGCCCCUUAUGAUUUGGGCUACACACGUGCUACAAUGGACAAUACAAAGGGCAGCUAAACCGCGAGGUCAUGCAAAUCCCAUAAAGUUGUUCUCAGUUCGGAUUGUAGUCUGCAACUCGACUACAUGAAGCUGGAAUCGCUAGUAAUCGUAGAUCAGCAUGCUACGGUGAAUACGUUCCCGGGUCUUGUACACACCGCCCGUCACACCACGAGAGUUUGUAACACCCGAAGCCGGUGGAGUA